rnacentral:rRNA from 1 species
CCUACGGGUGGCAGCAGUGAGGAAUAUUGGUCAAUGGACGCAAGUCUGAACCAGCCAUGCCGCGUGCAGGAAGACGGCUCUAUGAGUUGUAAACUGCUUUUGUACGAGGGUAAACGCAGAUACGCGUAUCUGUCUGAAAGUAUCGUACGAAUAAGGAUCGGCUAACUCCGUGCCAGCAGCCGCGGUAAUACGGAGGAUUCAAGCGUUAUCCGGAUUUAUUGGGUUUAAGGGGUGCGUAGGCGGUCGGAUAAGUUAGAGGUGAAAUCCCGAGGCUCAACUUCGGAAUUGCCUCUGAUACUGUUAGGCUAGAGAGUAGUUGCGGUAGGCGGAAGGUAUGGUGUAGCGGUGAAAUGCGUAGAGAUCAGACAGAACACCGAUUGCGAAGGCAGCUUACCAAGCUACGUCUGACGUUGAGGCACGAAAGCGUGGGGAGCAAACAGGAUUAGAUACCCGAGUAGUC